rnacentral:rRNA from 1 species
UACGGAGGGUGCGAGCGUUGUCCGGAAUCAUUGGGCGUAAAGGGCGCGUAGGUGGCCCGGUCAGUUCGUGGUGAAAGCGCGGGGCUCAACCCUGCGUCGGCACUGAAUACUGCCGCGGCUGGAGCACUGUAGAGGCAGGCGGAAUUCCGGGUGUAGCGGUGGAAUGCGUAGAGAUCCGGAAGAACACCGGUGGCGAAGGCGGCCUGCUGGGCGAGUUGCUGGACACUGAGGCGCGACAGCGUGGGGAGCAAACAGGG